GAGCAACUUCGUCGGCUAUAACCCCCUUGUUGCUGGAUGGGGAGCGUUAAGAUAUAGCAAGUGAUAUCAAUUUUAUAAUAAAAUUAAACAGUUCCAGUCUUAAAUAUCUUUCUCAUUUUCUUCGUAGGACGACCACGACCUAAUGCAUUAAUGGAAGUACAAAUGCCAGUGAUUAAGAACGCCGAAUGCAAAAUAGCUUAUUCCAAAUUUCCUAAUGCACCUGAUAUCACUGAUGGUAUAAUAUGCGCCGAACAUGCUCAGGGUGGAGAGGAUUCUUGUACGGUAAUUAAGUUACAGAGUUACUACAAACUAUACGGUAUCUGAAGACACGUCAAUUCGAAUUAACAUCAAAUCGACGUCUUAAACAUUAAAAAUAAUAGAUAAACACAAUUUAAUAGUUUUGCCCACUUCUCACACCUCGUUAUGGUAUUUAAUCUAAUUUCCUUCUAAUCUUAGUUUUGCUCAAAAUACAUAUAACAUGUACGUUAUAAAUUGGAGUAUUUCAAUACACAAAUCAAUAGAAGAUUAUUACUGUAUAUAAGUAUAAUUUCAAUGCAAUUCGAUCGAUAUAUUUCAGUAUCUUUGAUUAAAAAUUUAACGAUCCUUUCAGGCUGACCGUGGCGGACCACUGCUGAUACAACAUGAAUUAACCUCGUAUUUAAUAGGUAUUGUGUCUUAUGCUUAUAAGUGUGGCACAGCUGGGUAUCCCAGCGUUUACACUAGGGUCACAUCGUACCUUGACUUCAUUCUCCAAGCGAUGCAAUAAUAUGAUAUUACUGUUCCAUAAAUAUCAUUGUGUAAAAAACGUAAAGUUGGAUUUUCUUAUUGUGGAGAUAAGAAACAGCUCAAAUUUACAUUGUUUUGUACGUUACAAAUUAUAGGCUUAAAAUGUACGAAAUGUAACUUUGAAACGACACUAAUUUUUUACGCACGAUAAACCUCCACGACUUAGAUUAUAGAUUCCUAUACGACUCUCAGUAAAAAUUUAUCCGCACUCCAGAUAUAUAAAACUUCUGUCGACCGUAUUGAUCCAUCUGCACUCUUCGUAUGACGUCAAUAUCUGUUCAGUGCUGCUGCGCAGGUUUCUUUGUGUUACGUCAAUUCGUUUGUGACCGUUGCGCGAGUAAUGGCGCUUUGCAAUGGUGAUUUGCAGGAAAACAGUGCAGGAUGCUGUGAUUCGUUUCUUGUGGUCGGAGGUUAUGUUUGAUGCCUAUAUUUAUCAAAGAUUUAAUGCACAUUAUGGAGAAAGUGUUUUGUCACGAAGUGUGUUUGAAUGGGCACAAAAGUUCAAAGAAGAUCGCACAAGUGUUAUGAAAAAACAGCUGGACGCCCGUCCACAUCCACGAUGACAACAUUGAACGUGCUCAUGAACUUAUGCUCUAUGGAAUAGACGAGUGACACUGGAUAAUGUGGCAAAUCAUUUGCAAAUCAGCCACGGCUCUGCUUAUGCAAUAGUGCACGACAGAUUUGGAUUUUAAAAAGUUUGUGCGAGAUGGAUGCCGAAAAAGCUGAUGAAAAGGUGAAGACGACGAUGCAUUCGUGGUUCGCAGCUCAGCCCAAAACAUUUUUUAAUGAGAAAAUAUAAAGGUCCUUCGGCAAAUGGACAAAGUGUAUACAGAAAUCGAGUGAUUAUGUCAAAAAAUGAUGUAUGUCUUUUUUGACAAUUGCUUAAAAUAAAUUCUACACCGACAGAGCGGGCUGUUAAUCUAGAGGCUGGAGUACAAAGAAGUGGCACAAUGAUGUGGGCUGAUGACAUUUAUAAUUAUCAAGGAAUCACCCCUACAUUCGCUCAGAAUUUUAAUGAAACUGUCCCUUGGGAAGGAAGAACUGAUACCUUGAUAUCACGGAUAUUUAUGUUUAGUAACCAGUAAUUCAGAGAUUGGUAUUCAUGGUUACUAUAACGAGGCUGUAGAAACGCACCCUUUCUUCUUUGCAAAUGGUCCUGUAUUUAUGUCUAAGCCGAAACUGGAACCUCUGAAUAAUUUAGAUUUAUUCUUGUUAUUUUCUAAAAUACUUAUCUACAGUAUACCAUAAGGAAUGAUACCGUAUCGCACCUAAUCAAGUGCCUUAAGAAACAUCAACAGGAUAUCACAGUAAUCCCUUAUCGACUGAUAUUUGUAGCCACUACAAUAUCUAUGACACUGGUAGUAAUUAUGAGAACAAUAAUGAUGUGUUCUAUAAGAGGAAAUGAUGAUUAGGAACAAAAACUUACAGGUAAGUCAAAGUAUAUGUUAUUUGCCAUU